GACGAACGCUGGCGGCGUGCUUAACACAUGCAAGUCGAACGAUGAAGCUGGAGCUUGCUCCGGUGGAUUAGUGGCGAACGGGUGAGUAACACGUGAGCAAUCUGCCCUUCACUCUGGGAUAACUGCGGGAAACUGUAGCUAAUACCGGAUACGAGACCUUGGGGCAUCCCAGGGUCUGGAAAGAAUUUCGGUGAAGGAUGAGCUCGCGGCCUAUCAGCUAGUUGGUGAGGUAAUGGCUCACCAAGGCGACGACGGGUAGCCGGCCUGAGAGGGAGAGCGGCCAGACUGGGACUGAGACACGGCCCAGACUACUACGGGAGGCAAGAGUGGGGAAUAUUGAACAAUGGGCGAAAGCCUGAUGCAGCAACGCCGCGUGAGGGAUGAAGGCCUUCGGGUUGUAAACCUCUUUUAGUAGGGAAGAAGCGCAAGUGACGGUACCUACAGAAAAAGCACCGGCUAACUACGUGCCAGCCGCCGCGGUAA
rnacentral:rRNA from 1 species